rnacentral:rRNA from 1 species
AAGAGUGCGUAAUAGCUCACUAGUCGAGUGGCCCUGCGCCGAAAAUGUACCGGGGCUAAACAAGAUACCGAAGCCACGGAUAGAACCAAUGGUUCUAUGGUAGGAGAGCGUUCUAAGGGCGUUGAAGCAAGAUCGUGAGGACUUGUGGAGCGCUUAGAAGUGAGAAUGCCGGUAUGAGUAGCGAAAGACGGGUGAGAAUCCCGUCCACCGAAUGACUAAGGUUUCCUGGGGAAGGCUCGUCCGCCCAGGGUUAGUCGGGACCUAAGCUGAGGCCGAUAGGCGUAAGCGAUGGACAACAGGUUGAUAUUCCUGUACCAGUCUACUUUGUUUGAACAAUGGAGGGACGCAGGAGGCUAAGAUGUGCACGCUGAUGGAAUAGCGUGUCCAAGCAACAAGUCUUGAGAGGAGUCAAAUGCUUCUCUCAGCACGGACAAGUUGUGAUGGGGAGGGAAAUUUAGUACCGAAGUAUCUGAUGUCACACUGCCGAGAAAAGCUUCUAGUUAGAAGUAGGCUGCCCGUACCGCAAACCGACACAGGUAGUCGAGGAGAGAAUCCUAAGGUGAUCGAGAGAACUCUCGUUAAGGAACUCGGCAAAAUGACCCCGUAACUUCGGGAGAAGGGGUGCUGACCAAUUGGUCAGCCGCAGUGAAUAGGCCCAAGCAACUGUUUACCAAAAACACAGGUCUCUGCUAAUUCGUAAGAAGAUGUAUAGGGGCUGACACCUGCCCGGUGCUGGAAGGUUAAGAGGAAGAGUUAGCUUCGGCGAAGCUCUGAAUUGAAGCCCCAGUAAACGGCGGCCGUAACUAUAACGGUCCUAAGGUAGCGAAAUUCCUUGUCGGGUAAGUUCCGACCCGCACGAAAGGUGUAAUGAUUUGGGCACUGUCUCAACGAGAGACUCGGUGAAAUUAUAGUACCUGUGAAAAUGCAGGUUACCCGCGACAGGACGGAAAGACCCCAUGGAGCUUUACUGUAGUUUGAUAUUGAGUGUCUGUACAGCUUGUACAGGAUAGGUAGGAGCCACUGAAGCCAGGACGCCAGUCUUGGUGGAGGCGCUGGUGGGAUACUACCCUCGCUGUAUGGCCACUCUAACCCACGACCGUUAACCGGUCGGGAGACAGUGUCAGAUAGGCAGUUUGACUGGGGCGGUCGCCUCCCAAAAUGUAACGGAGGCGCCCAAAGGUUCCCUCAGAAUGGUUGGAAAUCAUUCGUAGAGUGUAAAGGCAGAAGGGAGCUUGACUGCGAGACCUACAAGUCGAGCAGGGACGAAAGUCGGGCUUAGUGAUCCGGUGGUACCGUAUGGAAGGGCCAUCGCUCAACGGAUAAAAGCUACCCUGGGGAUAACAGGCUUAUCUCCCCCAAGAGUUCACAUCGACGGGGAGGUUUGGCACCUCGAUGUCGGCUCAUCGCAUCCUGGGGCUGUAGUCGGUCCCAAGGGUUGGGCUGUUCGCCCAUUAAAGCGGUACGCGAGCUGGGUUCAGAACGUCGUGAGACAGUUCGGUCCCUAUCCGUCGCGGGCGUUGGAGAUUUGAGAAGAGCUAUCCUUAGUACGAGAGGACCGGGAUGGACACACCGCUGGUGUACCAGUUGUCAAGCCAUUGGCAUCGCUGGGUAGCUAUGUGUGGACAGGAUAAGCGCUGAAAGCAUCUAAGCGUGAAGCCCCCUUCAAGAUGAGAUCUCCCAUUCCUUUAAGGAAGUAAGACCCCUGAAAGAUUAUCAGGUAGAUAGGCUGGAAGUGGAAGCAUAGUGAUAUGUGGAGCGGACCAGUACUAAUCGGUCGAGGACUUAACCA